UGAGGGAUAUUGGUCAAUGGGCGCAAGCCUGAACCAGCGACGCCGCGUGGGUGAAGAAGGUCUUCGGAUCGUAAAGCCCUUUUCCCACUGAAGAGGAAGGACGGUAGGUGGGGAAGAUGUCUCGGCUAACUACGUGCCAGCAGCCGCGGUAAAACGUAGGAGACAAGCGUUAUCCGGAGUUACUGGGCGUAAAGGGCGUGCAGGUGGCGUCUUAAGUCUGUUGUGAAAGCGCCUGGCUUAACCGGGCGAGGCCAAUGGAGACUGAGAGGCUGGAGGACGGCGGAGGGGUGUGGAAUUCCGGGUGUAGUGGUGAAAUGCGUAGAGAUCCGGAGGAACACCAGAGGCGAAGGCGGCACUCUAAGCCGUACCUGACACUGAGACGCGACAGCACGGGGAGCAAACG
rnacentral:rRNA from 1 species